UCCCUGCUCUAUUUGCUAAGACGUUGAAAGUGAGUGAUAAGUUAUUUUGAAGAGCGGGGAGUAUUAGCAGGUCUACGGACUGUUGCUCGAUCUAUCUCGUGUGUGUCUGGAUGCCUGCUUCUGCUUGAUCGGGUUCACGGUUUGUUUCCAGCAAUGUGAAAUGCAUGUUUGCAUUGAACUGACUAGAUUGUGCUCAUUUUCUCUCUCCUUUUCUGUACGGAACAAACUCGCGUUACGAGCAGAGUACAGUUGGCUGUUCUGUUUGCGUGAGUUUAUGAGGUAUCAUAUACUAUAUGUUACAAAUGUGUUGCCGCAAGCAUGCAGUUUCAUGUAUUGGAGCAGGUUUGCAUUGGCCAAUGGUCAGAAGAUAAAAGACAUGCUGACACUGUGAUGCUUUCUUUUAAUUCCUAGGCGAUGUGGUGUUUGUGCCAAGCGUGCAUCUAUUUGGUUCUUCAAACCAAUUUCGUGCUUGUUUGGCUGGAUUUGGAUCAACCUUUGGAUGGGCAGGAAAAUUGAACAGUAAGCCGAAACAACAAAAUUCGGCGAACCUGAAUUUUGUUAGGAUGUGAAUCUGGUAGUUCGGUUGGUCAUCUUCUGACAGCCCAAACAACAAAAUUUGGCAAACCUGAAUUUUGUUUUCAUCAACUGUCAAGCGAAAUGAAAAACAAGCCUCGAAUUGACUGUAAAUUUGGCUUGUUAGGCUUGCUGUCGUGUUCUGAUUUUGGCUUUCCCGUGCUUUGCCCAACCUGGGAUUCUGUGUCGAUUGGGAUCUGCUUACAUAACUCAUAGGAUGGCAUAGACAAUGUUAUCUAUUCUUUAAUCUAAGUCAAAUACUCCCACUUAUUAUAUAAGAUAUGGUCUUCAUCAUAUGCUUUUGUAGGAAGAAGACCUCUUUACGAUGACUUUUGGACGGCCUUUGAAUGGUGAAGGUGAUGAUAAGUGCCUGUCAGUUCUGAACUCAUUUGAAGAGACAAUAUCUCGUCAACUGCGUGCAUGUAAAUCCUAAGCAUUGUCGAAGAAAAAAACACUAGAAGGUACUUGUAUUGUCAUGUCAGAUAUCGAUCCUUUGAUGCAAUUACAUGUUCAUUAUUUUGCGUUGCCUAAAACCUUGUUCCUUAUUUUUUCAAUUUACUGAUGUCACGGUCCUUGGUCCUAGCUCCAGUAGUAAUGUUGAGCUCAUGCAUUAAGUUUGCCGAUACCAAGAUAAACCCUAGCCUUUUACUAAACAUACACCAAAUAUAUGUCCCUGCUUUUUUUAAAAUUACAACUGGCUUUUGUUUAGCUCUGAAAUUUUUGGACUGCUGAUUAGUUUGCAUCAAAUUGUUUUGUAUAUGAAGUUUUUGAAGUAACUAGGUACUUCAUGUUAAGAUACUUCUAACUUAGUCUUUAGAUUGCAACACCAAAUUAAUAAAAGAAUUUGGACUCUGGGCGUUGGAAACGAAAGGGAAGUUAUUGAAUUACUUGGUAAAUGAUUGGCAUAUUUAAUUUGAACAUAUGCAUGGUGUGCAAUUUGUAGGUUUUGUGUUGUUAACUAGAAAGUUCUAUUAGGACAGAGUUUGAAUCGCUGCAAGAUAAUCCUGAGCUGGAAGAAGGUUACUGCAGAGCCUUGUUGUGUAGAUUACAUUUUCAUAAGGUCUUAGCCCAUGUUUCUUUUCCAAUUCUUCAUUUAAGUUGCUCAGUCUACUUUCCUUAAUGCUAAUACUUGACAUGUGUAUCGUGAUUCAUGAAUCAUGUUGGUCAUCUAUGUUUGUGCUGUAUUAUUGUGAUAACGCAGUGGUUUCAAAUUAAAUAAUAGCAAGUCAAGUUAUAAGCUGGUGGUAUCUAAAUUGGGAGGUUUUAAGAAUUUGCCACCGCAUUCAUUGGCAGUUGCGGAUUUACCACUUGAUGUUUCAUGUCAUUUGGGUCCUGAACAGUUGUCAUUGAGAUAAUGGAGUGAGACUGAAAUGCCAGUGAAUUGAGUGGCAAUCCUUAGUUUCUCUCUAAUUGUCAGUGAGAGGGGAGGGACAGAGUUUGUUUCGGCACACAACUUUACCCACUAUAUGCAUUGAUUGCGAUUAUUGUAUUUUUACUAUAACUAAAUGUUAUGUCGUAUAUCAUAGGGAAACAAGGUUUUUUAAGUGCUAGGCGAUGAACAAGCGUUUUGCCUCCGUUUCUGAACCAAGCGCACACCUAAGCAUAAUAAGCGCACGUUAAGCGCUGUCCGUUUUGCCUCCGCUCAGCACCUAGGAGCACCGAACUUUCCAGUGUAGAGAGAUGUGCAAAUAAAGACCACCAUAAGUGAUUACAUAAAUGAAGGCCAAGUCGUGUGAUCAUCUGAACGAUGCUUAAGAGGGGUAUUCAUCAAUUUCUAAAUGUCAUCGCACUUCUGUAUGGCCGUGUAGCACUUUACCAUGUCAUCGUGUGCAUGAGCAAACCUCAUGCAAGAAUACCGUCAUUUCUGAAGAUGAUACAUAAGAGGAUUUUAAUUGAUUUCUGAAUGUCUUCAUAUCUAUCCUUAUUAUUAAUAAUGUAGUUAGCUUACUUCUACAAAUACCCAUCUAUUUUUGUUUCAUUGGUAUAUCCACAACUGUUGUUUAGGAGUCUGUUGUUUCAUUGCUAUUUUUCCUUUAUAAUAAAUGAUCCCUCUUAUAUAAAUAGCUUCGAGGUUUUCUUAGUCCAGUAAAGCUCAUUUAUGAUGUAACAUUGACUUUCUGAUAAAUGGCUCACUUUUUAUUCCAUUAGGCCCUUUCUUGUAGAAAUAUGAUUUGUUUCCCUAUCCUAAGUCUCAUCCUGGCAAAUAUGUAUUCAGUGAGUUACUAUGUUAUAGUUUGUUGUUUCCCUCUUACAUUAACAAUGAUGCAAAAAUUGAAACAGACCUUACUUGUUCAGGAUGGCAAGCUUUACGAGCGAGACUUGUUUUGCGAUGUAAUUUCAAGGGCCCUGUUAUUAACGGACAUUAUAGGAGAUAAAGAGUUCCAGUCGAAUGAGUUUGUAGUGCAACUAGGUCAGGUCAGCCACCAGGGUCAUUCCUUUUUCCAACCUUUACGUCACACAUAAUUGUUUCUUGCUUAUUAUUACUCAUGCAGUCAUAAAAAUAUAUAUGGAGAUCUGUACGUGGUGGUCGCUCAGAUCCCAACCGUGCUUCCACAGGUGUACCAGUUCCUCUAUGUAUAUUCUUUGAUUUUUUUAGUUCGGUUCAUCUUUCAUAGGUAAUCCUUUGCAACAAUUUUAUAAGAUGCUGAAAUCAAAGGUGUGGGCUCUAUUUGAUGAGUAGAGUCUGCUAUAAAAUCAAGAAGAACACAAGGAGUAUGGGUCUGCACGUGCCUAUAAGAAGAAGAUGGCUUGAGGUGAUUUUUUUUCCAGUUGCGUCAACGAUGAGAUCUUCGUCAUGGACCUCAAGAGGGGCGUCGUCUUCAUAGGUACUAGCUCCCUCUGCCACUCGAUUCGUCUCGUGUGGGUCUUGUGAACAAUUUGGAGCCAUGACCCGACAUUAUAUACUGAUGAAUCAAAGAGCAAUAACCUAACAUACUUUAUACUGAACCAUGUUAUGGUGUAAAGGUCUCUGGACAAACAGGUGCAAGGAGGGCUUUGUUUGGUGCAGCGCAGGGGAAUAGCCAAUAGAUGUUUAAAUGGCAGAUGUUUAGACUGCCAAGGAUUGGAUUAUAUUAGUCAAUACAGUGAACAUGUUGGUUUGUCGCCACUUGUUGUAAGCCACUUUAGAUGAUGAAUAGAUUACUAAAAACGUUUUAGUAUUUACCUUCCUUACAUAUACAUGAUUUACUACAUUUAUGUAUAUCUUGCCUUUCAGCUAAUGGUCAAAUUCACUUGAUCAAUUUUCGGUAUCCAAUCUGAUGAAUGGCUUGGUGUUCGACUAACCUGAGACUGAGAGCAUUUGUACAUAGUAUCCCUUCUACCUGAAAUUGUCCCAGUGAGACGACAACUAUGAGAACAUAAGCUAUUAACUCUAUAGGUCGAAAGGGGCUCUCCAAGGAUGAGAAGGGCUGAGGUGCGGAAGCAGGGAGCCUUUCUUCUUCUCACGAGUGUUACAACCAGCCGGGGUCUUAUUAAAAGUAUCUUAGACCUUCCUGUAAAUAGAUAGUCAAAGCUUUUUUAUUAAAAAAACUUUACAUUUAAGUUUGAAAUAUUUAUGUUGCAUCAACUCACGCUAUUCUUUUUUGUAUAACAUCACCCUUUUUUGUAUAGAUAAUCAAAGUUUGAAAUAUUUACUGAACUUUGUACUUCUUAUUCAUUUGUAUAGCUUAUGACAAGGUACAUAUUCUAUUUAGCA